UGUCAGCCGCCGCGGUAAAACCAGCACCUCGAGUGGUCAGGAGGUUUAUGGGCCUAAAGCAUCCGUAGCCGGUUGCAUAAGUUUUCGGUUAAAUCUANNNGCUUAACGUAUAGGCCGCCGAAAANNNNGUGCAGCUAGGGAGUGGGAGAGGUACACGGUACUCGAUAGGAAGGGGUAAAAUCCUUUGAUCUAUUGAUGACCACCUGUGGCGAAGGCGGUGUACCAGAACACGUUCGACGGUGAGGGAUGAAAGCUGGGGGAGCAAACCGGAUUAGAUACCCGGGUAGUCCCAGCUGUAAACGAUGCAGACUCGGUGAUGCAUUGGCUUG
rnacentral:rRNA from 1 species